rnacentral:lncRNA from 1 species
GAGAGAGAAAGCAUCAAAACAUGUUUUUGCCGUCCGGUAUGAAAUCCGGCUUUACGUCCGACAUAAUCCGGCUUAUAAAGCGGUGUUUGGUCGGCUUUACAUCUAGCAUCGAUCGGCUUUUCUAGCGACGAUGGCUAGCUUUCGUUUACCUCCGGCGUUGUCCGGUUUAUCUCGCUUAUGGUACGACUAUCCCGCUGUCGUGUUUUUGGUUUUGUUCUUCCGGUGUGUCCAACUUUGGAUUCAGAAGUAGACAAGGUGAUUCUGGUGAAGUUUGGCAUGAACAUAAAACAAAGAUGUCUAGAGAACAAGAUCAAGCAGAGUUUAUGCGUUUAUGUAGAUCAUGUCCACCUGAUUUCUGUUUUCUUCAAUUUAACGAUGGAGAUCUUCAUCUAUUUGGAAAUCAGAUGUAGAUCCAGUGAUAUUUUGAUGUCGAUUUAAAGAAGAGACAAAAAUAUGGUGAAUUUGAAGGUGUUGAGUUUUGCUUGGUGAAGCAUGGCGGUUUACUGAUCUCGUCUCAGUUUAAGUUUUCUUCACUAAUUUAAGAUGAACUCGAGAAGUUUAGACGAAUUGGAUAUUUGGAUUAGUUACAGUCUCGGGUGAAUUCUCUUCGAUGUUGCUCACAGAUGAUCGGAUACUUCUCCGACGUAGAUUACCGGUGCUCGGAAUCUUUCUUCCCGAGCGACUCCAAAGAGUCAUUGUUUGAGUGAAGGAUAUGCUUACACGUGGCUUCAAUGGCGUCAUCUUCAAAGGGUGAUAUAGUUUCUUUCCACGUGUUCAUUUAAUCAUGCUUUCAUCGUUUGACCAUAUCUAUCUUCUGGGCCACUUGUGUAUUUUAUUAAGGCCUUUCUUUUGUUUACUUUGUUUAGUUGGUUUGUUUUAGCCUUUUAGGGUCAUAAGUUCUUAGCUAGUAUUCGAUCUUUGUCUUGCUCUGUGGUUAAUUUUCUUUCAAGCUUUAGGAUCUCAGUGGUUGAGGCUCUAGUAGAAGUUUCGGGUAUGAUUAGAUUGCACUCAUGGUUCCGCUGGGUCGCGCGUUAAGUGUAAAUGUUUCUAGGACGGGGUUAAGUGAGAGAUUUAGUUUUGCCCUUUUUAGUAUUUUAUUUUUAGUUAAAAUUUUUGCUGGGUUUCCUCUUUUCAUGAGUUCCUUGUUAGUUUGAUAUGUUUCUUUUGAGCUUGCUAGGAUCGUUUAAAAGCUUAGGUUCUUAGUUUGGUAAAACAAAAACAGAUGGAAUGCAGUGUUAUGAAGGGUUGAAAAUGGAGAUAUUGAGUUAAUCUCUCUUGAGCACCACCACCAGUUGCUGAAAUGUUUUCAAGACUAUGGUUGGUUUUCAUAUGGCCCUUUCUUAUCAGAUCAUCAAGCUGAAGCACUAUUGAUACCGUUUGUAGUGUUCCAACUGCUCUCUUAUGUGGUUUGAGAUUAUUAAAAGUUUCACAAUGCAAAUCACAGAAUAUGUAAUCGAGUAGAAUGUGUGAGGCUAAACAAGUGUUUGGCAUUCCAUGUAUGGUUCUUUUGAAUGAUAAAUAAAGUUACACCUUGAGAAAAAAAAAA